GCCGGGUGUGGUGGUGCGCACCUGUAGUCCCAGCUACUCGGGAGGCUGAGGCAGAAGAAUCGCUUGAACCCGGGAGGCAGAGGUUGCAGUGAGCCGAGAUCGCGCCACUGCACUCCAGCCUGGGUGACAGAGUGACACUCUGUCUCAA
rnacentral:sRNA from 1 species